GCCCUCGUAGUGAAAUGGAUAUCACAGCAGGCUUCGGACCUGUUUUUGUAGGUUCGAAUCCUACCGAGGGCG
rnacentral:tRNA from 2 species